rnacentral:rRNA from 1 species
GUCGAGCGGAUCAUUUUUCGUCGCAAGACGAACAAUGGUUAGCGGCAAACGGGUGCGUAACACAUUGGUAACCUGCCUCGCAUUCCGGCAUAGCUCGCCUAACGGCGAAUUAAUUCCACGAUGGUCAUGAGGGGACGCAAGUCAUUCUCAUGUAAAGUCGCACGACGCUGCAAGAGGGGCCUAUGGCCUAUCACCUUGUUGGCGGGGUAACGGCCCACCAAGGCGAUGACGGGUAGGGGAUGUGAGAGCAUGAUCCCCCUCAAUGGAACUGAGACACUGUCCAGACACCUACCGGUGGCAGCAGUCGAGAAUAUUCCCCAAUGGGCGAAAGCCUGACGGAGCGACACCGCGUGUGGGAAGAAGGCCUUCGGGUCGUAAACCACUUUUGCCGAGGAAGAACAUUGACGGUACUCGGAGAAUAAGAGGUUGCUAACUAUGCGCCAGCAGCAGCGGUAAUACAGAGACCUCAAGCAUUAUCCGGAUUUCUUGGGCGUAAAGGGUCCGCAGGCGGCUAAGCACGUCAUCGGUUAAAUUUAAGGGCUCAACCCUUAAACCGCCGGUGAUACGGCAUGUCUUGAGUGUGGGAGAGGUGAGCGGAACCACCGGUGUAGUAGUAAACUGCGUUAACAUUGGCAAGAACACCAAAUGCGAAGGCAGCUCACUUGAACACAAGAGACGCUCAGGGACGAUAGUGUGGGGAGCGAAAGGGAUUAGAUACCCCUGUAGUCCACGCCCUAAACGAUGGAUGCUAGAUAUCGGGAGUAUCGACCCUCCCGGUGUCGGUUAAAAUAGCUAACGCAUUAAGCAUCCCGCCU